rnacentral:rRNA from 1 species
AUUGAACGCUGGCGGCAGGCUUAACACAUGCAAGUCGAGCGGGGUGAUGGUGCUUGCACUAUCACUUAGCGGCGGACGGGUGAGUAAUGCUUAGGAAUCUGCCUAUUAGUGGGGGACAACAUCUCGAAAGGGAUGCUAAUACCGCAUACGUCCUACGGGAGAGAGCAGGGGAUCACUUGUGACCUUGCGCUAAUAGAUGAGCCUAAGUCGGAUUAGCUAGUUGGUGGGGUAAAGGCCUACCAAGGCGACGAUCUGUAGCGGGUCUGAGAGGAUGAUCCGCCACACUGGGACUGAGACACGGCCCAGACUCCUACGGGAGGCAGCAGUGGGGAAUAUUGGACAAUGGGGGGAACCCUGAUCCAGCCAUGCCGCGUGUGUGAAGAAGGCCUUGUGGUUGUAAAGCACUUUAAGCGAGGAGGAGGCUCUUUUGGUUAAUACCCAAGAUGAGUGGACGUUACUCGCAGAAUAAGCACCGGCUAACUCUGUGCCAGCAGCCGCCGUAA